rnacentral:rRNA from 1 species
UACGUAGGGGGCGAGCGUUGUCCGGAGUUACUGGGCGUAAAGGGCACGCAGGCGGUGCGGCGCGUUUCGCGUGACAGCGGAGGGCUUAACUCUCCGAGGAUGCGAAAGACGGCGGCACUUGAGGGCCAGAGAGGGACACGGAAUUCCGGGUGGAGUGGUGAAAUGCGUAGAGAUCCGGAGGAACACCGGUGGCGAAGGCGGCAUCCUGGACCGGUAUUGACGCUGAGGCGCGAAAGCCAGGGGAGCAAACGGG